rnacentral:lncRNA from 1 species
AACAAACAUCUCAAUCUUCUCACCUCAUUUUUUCUAGUUCUAAUCUCUAUGUAUAUGCCUUCUGUUUCAUAUGGCCAAUCCUUAAUCUCUUCGAAUCACUGGGUUCAAGUUAUCAAAUUUCUUGAUUUGGGUUCUUUGGCCAAGAUAACCUUUUUCUUUCCUAGCUUGUUCAAUCCAUUUCUUGAUUGAAAAUUCAUCCGGGCGGUGGGGCUUUUGACAGAUCACUCUAAUGAGUCCUGUGGGUGAGUUCCAUUUAUUAAUAAAAAAAAUUCCAUUUUCACUCUUUUUUUUUUUUUUUUCAUGGAUUUUGUAUACUUCAUUAAAUAAUAAAUAUCGAAAGUGAGAGAUGAAGUAUCUUAAAUUCUGUGGUAAUUUGUAAUUUCACUACCCUAUGGAUCCAAUUUAUUAAAACUGUUUUUACAUGGUUAUAGCUUGAAAAAAUUAAUUCCAAAAUGUUUAUGUAUGAGUUUAAUGGCAUUAUUUCAUCACAUAUAAUCGUUUAUUUGUGGGUUCUACAAAUUCCAGAAUUCCCUGUCUGUAAAAUUGUUGGCAUAUGUGGAUUCUUAUGCAUGUAGAUGACUACUUCGAACUGAAUUUAUGUUAUGAUACUUGGUUCUGUAUAUGACAAAACUUCACAGCAUUCCGAGCAAAAACUGUUGUUGCUGUGUAAUAGUGCCCAAAAAUAUAAAUACGAAGCCUUGUUCUUAAUGAGUUAGGCUACAUGAAUCAAUUUUCACCAUUCUUUUGGCCGACUGCUAGAUUUAGGACCUGUUUGGCGAAGCUUCCUACUUUCAUUUCUGCAUCUUGUAGAAAAGUUUGUUGAAUAAGCUUAAUUAGUGUCUAGAAACUAAUUUCUAAAAAAGAUUGAUCUUCCAUAAGAGCUUUUAGAGAAUUAACUAGAUGGGUCCAAAAACUCAUUUUGGAUCUCAAAAGUCAUGCCAAUGGGCCCCUUUAUUCAAAGAUUCAAAGCUUUUAGAUAGUGCAUACACAAAGGAAAGGGAAAAAUGAUCAUUGGUCUAUUGUAGUUUCUAUGGCUUCUUCCAUUGUCUUUCAUUUCAUGUACUUCCAACAUUGAAUGGAAGUUAUUGUAUUUGUGUAAUUUCUUGUUUUUCCCCCAGCAGUUGAUGCAUCAAAACUUUUUAUCCAGGGGAUACUAUUCUCUAGCCUGGUUUCUGUUGAGGUUAUUUCAUAUUUGCUAGAACCUCUUCCAUAUCAUGUGCUCACAAGUUUCAUAUAUAAUUUUGUGUUUAUAUUGUUUGGGAAUUCGUACCCCAACACCGAAAGCACAUCAAGCACAACACAAUAUUAAAGUGCAAGAAAAUAAAAGAACACAAGAAUGGUCACUGAGUUCGGCCUAAAAGGCCUAAUCUGGGGGGCUCAGGUCAGCCCAAUCCACUAGUGCAAAAACCACCUCCCAGAAAGAGUUCAAUACAACCAAACACUUCACCUUACCAGAUUGAUCAUCGAUCUACAAGAUCUCACAAAGAAUCUGGACUUUCUACACAACAUAUUAAUCUGACCGAAAAAUAUAUUCCUACAGUAUACAACCACACAACCGGAAUAACCUAUGGUUACUAGCUUACAAAAGCAACAAGAUUUUAUCAUAAAAAAUACACUUCUAUCACAGAAGGAAUUUCGAUUAGAAGAAGAAACCAAGAUGAAGAUUUCUUGAAGUUUUAGAGAGAGAGAAAAUGUGAUUGAAACAAAACUCCAAAAUGCAACCAGUGAAGUGACCCGUUUUCAGCCAAAAACGUGACUUGAAGAGUCACUUUUAAUUCAAAGUAAGAUCUCAACCAUUGGUUUAAUCCAAUGACCCUUAUAAUUUCCAAACAAACACAGAUCCGGGUCACGUCCAAUGCUCCAAUCAGUAGCUGCCAUUUGAAGUCUUAACAAAUUUCCGAAAAUACCCUCAAUUUAAAACACAACUUUAGAAACACGUUUUUCUCCUUUCAAUCUUCACCUUGUUUCUCAAGUUGUACACAUCCUCUCAGUUGCGGAAUUUUGCACUUAUAGUGGAAAGGCUGAACAACAUCAUUGCCUUAGGUACCUGCAAAGAAAAAUUACCCAGUAUCAAUGUUGAGAAGUGACAAACACAUUCUAAACUUACUCACAGGCAGAAUUUUUGUGCCCAUAUCAGAUGGGUUAAUGUCAGUAUGAAUUUUAUCUAACAUCAUUUCACCUAAAGAUAGUUUCUCUCUUAUGAAAUGAUAUUUCACCUCAAUAUGCUUGGACCUUUCAUGAUAGACAGGGUUCUUGCUUAACAAUAAUGCACUCUGACUAUCAAUAAGAAUAAUAGGUGAUGAAAAAAGAAAAUUCAGUUCACUUAAAAUUCCUUUCAGCCAUAUACAUUCUUUAACACAUUCAGUAAUUGCCACAUAUUCAGCUUCAGUACUGGAUAAAGUGACAGUUGGUUGAAGUUGAAACUUCCAUGUGAUACAAUUAUCACCAAGUGUAAAGAAAAAAGAUGUGGUAGAUUUUCUUUGAUCCUUGUUUCCAGCAAAAUCAGAAUCCACGUACCCUUUAAGGGUUAAUGGUUCUGAUCCCUUUUUGUACACUAAUCCUACACUUAGUGUCCCAGCUAUAUACCGUAAUAGCCAUUUUAAGCCAGCCUAAUGUGGUUUUCCCGAGUUUGCCAUAAACCUACUUAAAAAACUGAUUGAAUAUGCUAGAUCAGGUCGUGUUGUUAUCAUAGAAAACAUUACUAAUCCUAUUGCAUUGGAGUAAGGGAUAUUUUCCAUGUCUUUGGCCUCAGAUUCAGUUUUAGGACAUUGGGUUGAGGAGAGAUUCAUGUGAGCAGCAAGUGGAACAUUAACAGACUUAGCUUCUUUCAUGCCAAACUUAGAUACAACUUUAUGUAGGUAAAACUCUUGGGUUAUUAUUAACCUGUCUUCUUGUCUAUUCCUAGUUAUCACCAUUCCCAGUAUUUUCUUGGCAUUCCCUAAGUCUUUCAUGUCAAAUUCAAAUUUUAGGAGGUUCCUCAUUCUUUUUAUUUCAGCCUUGCUUGAACUGGCUAGCAGCAUAUCAUCUACAUACAAGAGUAGAUAUAUCUCGCUGCCAGGUUUGGAGUUAUAGUAAUAUAAGCAAUGAUCAUACUCACUUCUCCUAAAACCAAUUUUCACAACAUGUGUCAAACCGAAUGUACCACUGUCUUGGACUUUGUUUGAGUCCAUACAGUGAUUUCUGCAAUUUACAAACAUGAUCAGAUUUCUCCUUUUCCUCGAAACCUUGAGGUUGACACAUAUAGAUGUCCUCAUCCAAUUCCCCAUGCAAGAAUGUUGUUUUGACAUCUAAUUGUUCAAGUUCCCAAUUAAACUGAACAACUAGAGCAAGUAUUAGCCUUAUUGUCUUAUAUUUGAUUACAGGUGAACAAAUUUCAUUGUAAUCAAUUCCCUCCCUUUGGGUGAACCCUUUGGCCACUAAUCUUGCCUUAUACCUCAAAGGGUCAUUGGGGGACAUGCCUUCUUUUAGUUUGUAAAUCCACUUGCAUUGAACCACUCUCUGUUUUUUAGGUUUCUUCACAAGUUUCCAUGUUUUAUUAUCAUUCAGGGAUUUCAUUUCUUCCCUCAUGGCAUCUUUCCAAUUCUGAGAUUUAGAACAACUUAUAGCUUCAUCAUAAGUAUAAGGUUCAGCAUGUUCUAAGUUCUCACCAGUGAUAAGGGCAAAGUCUGUCAGAUUAUUAGUCUCAUAUCUUGGAUUAGGUUUAAUCUGUUUCCUUUCCCUAUCUCUCACUAAUUCAUAAUCUUGGGUACUAGUUUCAUUUUCAGGUGUCACAAUUUCAGUUUCAGUUUGGGCUGUUAUAACUUCACCUUCGCUUGUGUCGUCUGAUCUUACAUUUGGCUGUUCAUUUUUAGGUUCAGUUAUCUCAAUAGAAUUGUGACCCAAUCUUGCCAACUUUACCUCAUUCUGUGAAGUACUAUUUUCAAUUGCAUCCUGUUUAUCCCUUUUACUUUUUAAGCAUGGCAUCUCAGAUUCAUUAAACACUACAUUUCUACUGUUAAUGAUCUUAAUGCCUUUCUCACCUAGUACCCAUAACCUGUACCCUUUAACUCCUUCAGGGUACUCCAACAUGACACAUUUGGUGGCUCUAGGAUCUAAUUUGCCUCCAACUUGAUGUGCAUAUGUAGCGCAUCCAAAGACCCUAAUAUUAGACAGAUUAGGUGUUUUUCCAGUCCACAAUUCCUGAGGGGUCUUCAACUUUACAGAACUGCGUGGUGACCUAUUAAUUAGAUAGGCUGCAGUGCAUAAAGCUUCUGCCCAAAAACCUUUUGCUAUACCAGAACUUAUUAGCAUGCAUCUAACUUUAUUCAUUAGAGUUCUGUUCAUUCUUUCAGCUACCCCAUUCUAUUGGGGUGUGUGCUUAACAGUUCUAUGCCUAAUUAUUCCCUUUUGCCUGCAAAAGUUAUCAAAUUCUGCAUUACAGAAUUCCAACCCAUUAUCUGUCCUUAAGGUUUUUAAUUUUCUGCCCAAUUGAUUUUCAACCGUCGUUAACCAAAUUCUGAAUUUUUGAAAUGUUUCAGAUUUUGUCUUUAAGGGGUAUGUCCAGACCUUUCUAGAAUAAUCAUCAAUUAUAGAAAGAAAAUAUUUAUUCCCACCAAAGGUUGAGUGGCUUUCUGGACCCCACAAAUUUGAGUGGACAUAAUCUAAAGGUCUAUUUGUAGUGUGUGACCCCGUCUCAAAACUGACUCUAUGAGAUUUUCCAAGUACACACGUCUCACAAAAGUCAAGGGGCUCUAUAUUAUCUUUUCCAAACAAUUUUUGAUCAUUUAGAUAUUCUAGCCCCUUAUUUCCAAUAUGUCCCAUUCUACAAUGCCACAAUUCAGAUUUACUUUCAGUAAUGGUUAAGGAUUUUGGAUCAUGGGAAUUAACAGUCUUACCCAUUAGGUAGUACAAACCAUUCCUCUUUAGUCCCUUCAUAACUACAAGAGAUCAUUUGAGAAAUUUCAAAGUAUUAUUUUCAGAUUUAAAAGUGUGUCCCUCAUCUUCAAGAAUUCCUAGUGAAAUGAGAUUUCUUUUUAGAUUUGGGACAUGUCUUACAUUUUUAAUCUGCCUGACACUACCAUCAUACAUUUUGAUUGUAAUGUCACCGAUUCCAAGAACAUUUUGUGAAUUAUUAUCACCCAUAUAUACUUUCCUGGGUUCUAUCUCCUUGUAGUUAUGAAACCAAGUUUUAUUUGGGCACAUAUGAAUUGUACAUCCAGAGUCAAGUAUCCAGUCAGUGUCUGCUUCAUCGUUAGACACAGUCAUAACAAGAAGGCUGUCAAGUUCUGAACUUACAGCAGCAUUAUUCAACUCAUUGUUAUUAGGUUCUUUUAACUUCUUCUUUAAUUCGAAGCAAUCCCUUUUGAAGUGUCCAAGUUUUCCACAGUGAUAGCAUUUUUUAUUACUUUUAUCCCUUGACUUGGACCUACCUCUUGAUUUAGAUUUGAACCUCUUAUUCAACGAAUGGUUCUCUCUUUUAUCAGUUCUCCCUCUCACAAACAGGUUCUCCUCUCUAGGGUUAAUUCUUGUUUCCUUCUUAACCUCCAGCUCCCUAGAUCUUAGGGCAUUUGUCACAAUUGUUUGUGUUAAGGUAUCUCUCGAAUAUUUUAUUGCAUUUCGGAUAUCUUUAUAAGAUUCGGGUAGUGAAUUUAGAAGGAUCACAGCCAGAUCUUCAUCCUCAAAUUUCUUAUCGUUAUGUGAAAGACUCUUGACAAGAAUGCUAAAGUCACUGAGAUUAGAUUCUAAGUCUUUUCCAGGAUCCAUUUUGAAGCUAUACAAUUUUUCCAACAGGUAGAUCUUAUUAGGCAGUGUUUUAGUUAAGAACAAAGUAUCUAGGGCUUCCCACAGGGCUCGAGCAGUUUUAUGUUCUUCAACUUAUCUCACUAUGUUAUCAGACAAGUGUAGUAUAAUUGAACUAUAUGCUAUUUCAUUCAUAUCUUCAAUUUCAGUAGGCUUAGCUUUCAAUUCAUCAGGAAACUUUUCAGGAUCAUCAAGGGCUUUUGCAACCCUUUGUGGACCAAAAUGGCCCUCAUUUUCUGUUUCCAUAUAGAGUAAUUACCCUUUCCAUCGAAUUGACUUAAUUCGACCUUCGAACCCAUUGCGGGUUCUGUAAAAGGAUUGUUACUCAAGGACAUAAGUGAUUUAAUUCAAGAAAUCACUUAAGUUACAGAAAAAGUUUUUGAAAUUUUUUUUUCCAGAUAAUUGACAAGUAAGCUGACCUGAAAAUAAGCAGACAAUAAUCCAAUAUAUACUGAUAAAAAACACAAUAACUAAAAAAGGAUCAAUUUCAGAUUUCCAAAAAUCUGGUACCAAUCAAUAAGAUUCCAGAAAAAAUGAAAUUUCCUAAAAAAGUUUUCCUAUCACAAUUAAACACAAUAUUCAGUUUCUUUGAAUGAUACAAUCACAAUAACAUGCUUGAAAUCAGAUUCAACAUUUAUAUCAGGCAAAGGACAACAGUGUUUAAUUGUUAAAGAUCUCACCAAAAUACUGUGUAAUACAAUAUUUAAACAACGCAGUUUCGGUUUCUGCAGAUAGGGGUUCGAAACCCUAGCUUCCAAGAAUCACUAUAUUUCACUUUCAAAUCACUGCACAAGUGAAGUAAAGAUGUUAAUACGAUAAGAGAUUAAACUGUAUCCAAAUAUACCUUACCUCACGGCCUUGUAGGCUCUGAUACCAGAUUUGUUAGGGAAUUCGUACCCCAACACCGAAAGCACAUCAAGCACAACACAAUAUUAAAGUGCAAGAAAAUAAAAGAACACAAGAAUGGUCACCCAGUUCGGCCUAAAAGGCCUAAUCUGGGGGGUUCAGGUCAGCCCAAUCCACUAGUGCAAAAACUACCUCCCAGAAAGAGUUCAAUACAACCAAACACUUCACCUUACCAGAUUGAUCAUCGAUCUACAAGAUCUCACAAAGAAUCUGGACUUUCUACACAACAUAUUAAUCUGACCGAAAAAUAUAUUCCUACAGUAUACAACCACACAACCGGAAUAACCUAUGGUUACUGUAGCUUACAAAAUCAACAAGAUUUUAUCAUCAAAAAUACACUUCUAUCACAGAAGGAAUUUCGAUUAGAAGAAGAAACCAAGAUGAAGAUUUCUUGAAGUUUUAGAGAGAGAGAAAACGUGACUGAAACAAAACUCCAAAAUGCAGCCAGUGAAGUGACCCGUUUUCAGCCAAAAACGUGACUUGAAGAGUCACUUUUAAUUCAAAGUAAGAUCUCAACCAUUGGUUUAAUCCAAUGGCCCUCAUAGUUUCCAAACAAACACAGAUCUGGGUCACGUCCAAUGCUCCAAUCAGUAGCUGCCAUUUGAAGUCUUAACAAAUUUCCGAAAAUACCCUCAAUUUAAAACACAACUUUAGAAACACGUUUUUCUCCUUUCAUAUACGUAUUAUAUUUUCAUAUUCGCUUGUUGAGGCUACAUUCACCAUGGCUUAACAUAGAUGGAAAGCUUGCUUUACUAUCUAAGGUUCACCAGGUGCGACUAAGAAUGUACAGCCCCUUGAAAUCUCAGGCUGCUUGCUACUUUGAAGGCAAAAUGGCCAGGAUGCGGUCGACAUCUUUAUGUAUGUGACAGGAAUAAUUUUUCCAAGCCAACAAGACAAAACUGCUGCUAAACUCUUCAUUCCAUCCAGGCUACUCCUUCAAUCUUUUCUAAAUCAGACACUUCUUUUAAUAUAUUUCCCUUUCCACUUGAAAACUUCUUGGGGAAAUUUUACUUAAAAGAGUGCUGGAGUGGAUUUGAAGAAUUGCAUUUUUUUUACUCUUGCUCUUUCUGGUCGAUUAAUUUAUGUGUUCUGAUUGCUUGUUCAUGUAAUAAGUUACUAUAACUCUAGAAAUCGUCCUUGUAAUUUCAUAAUCAUUUUAAGAAUUUCUCUUUUUCCUUGACUCAUGCAUCAUUUGAUUUCUGGCUUUCUUGUGUGGCAAAAAUUGUUGGGAAUCUACUUAUACAUGCACAGCGAAAAAUUAAAAUUAUUUCGAUUUCCAUCGAGGAUCCCUUUGUGUUUAGAUAAAAAUCGAGAUAAAGAUUGUACCUUUG